rnacentral:rRNA from 2 species
AUGUGCGAUCAUCCCAACAUUAAUGCACCGGAUCCCAUCAGAACUCCGCUGGUAAGCAUGCUUGGGCGAGAGUACAACUAUGAUGGGUGACCUCCUCCGAAGUCCUUGUGUUGCACCUC